GACGAACGCUGGCGGCGUGCUUAACACAUGCAAGUCGAACGGAAAGGCCCUUCGGGGUCCUCGAGUGGCGAACGGGUGAGUAACACGUGGGUGAUCUGCCCUGCACUUUGGGAUAAGCCUGGGAAACUGGGUCUAAUACCGAAUAGGACCACGCGCUUCAUGGUGUGUGGUGGAAAGCUUUUGCGGUGUGGGAUGGGCCCGCGGCCUAUCAGCUUGUUGGUGGGGUAAUGGCCUACCAAGGCGACGACGGGUAGCCGGCCUGAGAGGGUGACCGGCCACACUGGGACUGAGAUACGGCCCAGACUCCUACGGGAGGCAGCAGUGGGGAAUAUUGCACAAUGGGCGCAAGCCUGAUGCAGCGACGCCGCGUGGGGGAUGACGGCCUUCGGGUUGUAAACCUCUUUCAAUAGGGACGAAGCGCAAGUGACGGUACCUAUAGAAGAAGCACCGGCCAACUACGUG
rnacentral:rRNA from 1 species